UGUGGAAAAACCUUACUGUAGGAUGUUAUGAGAGCAGCCCUCUGCAGUUCUUCUCAGAAGUGGGGUACUCCUACGUGCUGUCCUCCCUACAGCAGAAAAAAACAGAUACUCUCCUGCAAUGGUCUCACUCUCCAUGAGGAUCAGAGCAGAAAGGACUCUCCCUGCCUCUUGCAAUGUCGGCACUAUCCUGAAGGGCUGGAUCCGACUUGCUCCACAGCAAGCUUGUGUCCUCUGGGGCAUCUUAUUCACAGUUUUCAAUGGAUAUGAACCAGCUGGUCCUUGGGACAGCCUUUCCCAGCAGUAAAAAACUGUGGAAAUGCCAGCCUCAGCUCUACUUUCUAUCAACAG